rnacentral:misc_RNA from 1 species
AGGACUAAAACUGCAGCAAAUGAGCCUGUAGGACAGAUGACAAUUUUUUAUAGCGGGAGGGUCAAUGUCUAUGAUGAUGUACCAAGAGAUAAGGCAAAAGCAAUAAUGCAGCUUGCUGCAUAUCCACUCUCUUUUUCUCGCGAAACUUCAUCUAACACAAUUCCUGCAUUAUGGCCCAUUCCAUGCCACCUUGAAAGUCCAGGUGUCAAAGCAGCUGCUAGUUCUCCUAUGUUGAUCUUUCCAACCCUGCAGACAGGUAAAGUGGCAGAAAACUGUCAGCUGCCCAGGGAAGAGAGCAACAUAUCACAUGAAGACAACCUAGGUUCAUGUGACUUCUCUCUAUUUCUCUGCUUGAUAUAAAUCAAACUUUUAUUUCAAAAACCAACUAGAGUGGAUGAUACCCCAAUAAAUAGACUUCUAUACACAUAAUAAUUUUUUCUGUCCUUUAUCACUUGGUACUUCGAAUGUUUUGAAGCACUCGUUUAUUGUUCUUACAUUAUUCCAACUUCAGUAUAUAUUAUUUAAUAUUUUCUUUGUUGGCUGUAAAUUACAAAUAGGACUCUCUUAUGGUAUAUUGAAUGGUUCUUUGUGACUCUGUAAGAAACAAGAACUUGAUAGCUCUUGACUUGGGUGACUUGUGAUCAAAUUCUUGCACCAAUUGAUGAUGCAGUAUUUCCCCUUUAUUGAAGUUGUUUUCCUAUUUCCUUUCCUAUUAUCUUUAUGGUAUCUGCACAAGAACCCUUUGAAAUGUCACAUUUUACCCUAUAGUAGUCUGUAUUUCUUCUCAUUUAACCUUAUACUAGUUGCCUGACCGAGGAAGAUAGCUUUUUGUUUGGUCAAUCUUCUUGAGGGUUUGUUAUUGAUUGUACCAGGUUCUGAAAUUCAUAUUGAUUUUUGUUCUACAUCCAAGAUAUUGAUGAAUUUUUUGUAAUAUCUUGGCAUCCCGUGUAAAUUAAGCAUGUUUAAUUGAUCAAAUCAGUCUGCUUCCUAGGCCAGGUGAAUUUGUUUUCUAAAAUUCAGUAUGAGUGAAGUACUGGAGGUGCUUUGAGAGUAUACUGGAGAUACUUGGAAAAUAACACAAGGGAAUGAGCUGCUGAAGAAUUCUUUUUUCCCUUCCAAGUUUCUUUAUGGAUUCUCAUUUUCCAUCCACAAUAUACAAACCUCUGAUUAUAAGUAGGGAGAAAUUAAUUUCUCAUCUAUACUUAAUGACUUAAUGAUUGAUGGGGUUUCUACUUCUUUCAUUAUGUUACAUUAACUAACUGGUUUAAAAAUGUUUCAGAAGGCCCAGCAAGUAGAAAAGCAUCAGUACAGAGAUAUCUUGAAAAACGAAAAGACAGGUAUCUUAAAUAGUAGAUACUUAUAACAUCAAUAUAAAUCAAGCAGUCUAUUUUGCCCUGUUAUUUGUCCCUCAUAUUCCUCUUAGAUGAAGGUUUAAGAACAAGAGAAAGGUGGCAAUGCCUUCAUCUGCUAGCUCAGACAUCAACUUCAAUCAUCAAGUGGGAGAUCAAUUCUCAAAUGAUCAAUGGAACCUUAGUGGUGCAUGCUCUUCUUCUCAACCCAGACCACCCGAAACUCCUACUCGAUGCAGCUCUGUUGAGAAUACAGCAAAGCAUUCCUAUCUUCCUGUUGAUCUCGAUGACAGAGAUGUACAAGAAUGUUGACAAUGUGGAGGAUGAAUCUGUUACAUGAUGCUGUUUUAUCAGUGUGAGCAAGGACUUGCGUGUUGCGUGUUCCACUAGUUACCAUUUCUAUUUUCUGAUGUCACUGAAGAAGGCUUAAGAAAGUAGCUCCUUUGGAAGAGUUUGUACUAUACAGGUAAAGUGUGUUAUAGAAAUGUUCUUACUCUCGGAAGCAAACAAAUUCAAAGUUAAGAUUUAUCAAUAUUUCUCCACCCAAUCUCUUAAUAGCUAGUAACUAAUGUAAUGGGCAAUUGCUAAUCCCAUUACCUGAGCUGUGUUUUCGUUGCUCUAUGGUCAUGAUAGCAUCUGAGCGAGCCUGCAAAAGUGCAUGAGCACAUAAAAGCAGCCUGAACAAUGAUAUCUUUCAUGAAGAAAUUUAUAUUGAUAUCCGUUGUGUGCUUCUGAGUAGAGAUUGCAGUAGAUUAGCCCAAUGGAAAUUGUUGAGCCGUGUGAGGGAGCAUAGGUGGGGCAACAAGGACCCAUAUAUGGGCCGGAGGAGCUUUUAGGAUAAGCCAGGGGAUAUGCAUAAUAUUUGUAACGAAGAUAGGUGACAAAAGUCAAAUUAUUGAAAGCGGAAAAGGAUAUAUACUCCUUUUGCUUGGAUGCUUGCUGGCGUC